AAGCGCUUGUGACCAGACUUGGGCUUGGUUGAUCAUCCGGGGUUCUCCCCGGUGCACUCUUCCGGCUCAGGCCAGCAUCAGUUCGCCCUGGGGGAUAAAGGCGGCGGGAAUGUGGCUCUCUUCGGGGAGUGUUAUAGCCCGUCGUGUAAUACCCUGGGGGGGACUGAGGUUCGCGCAUCUGCAAGGAUGCUGGCGUAAUGGUCAUCA
rnacentral:rRNA from 1 species